rnacentral:rRNA from 1 species
UGGCGGCGUGCCUAACACAUGCAAGUCGAACGAGAAAGUGGAGCAAUCCAUGAGUAAAGUGGCGACCGGGUGAGUAACACGUGACUAACCUACCUUCGAGUGGGGGAUAACCUCGGGAAACCGGGGCUAAUACCGCAUAAUGCCUUCGGGUUAAAGGAGCAAUUCGCUUGAAGAGGGGGUCGCGGCUGAUUAGCUAGUUGGCGGGGUAACGGCCCACCAAGGCGAUGAUCGGUAGCCGGCCUGAGAGGGCGCACGGCCACACUGGAACUGAAACACGGUCCAGACUCCUACGGGAGGCAGCAGUGGGGAAUUUUGCGCAAUGGGGGAAACCCUGACGCAGCAACGCCGCGUGGAGGAUGAAGUCCCUUGGGACGUAAACUCCUUUCGACCGGGACGAUUAUGACGGUACCGGUGGAAGAAGCCCCGGCUAACUUCGUGCCAGCAGCCGCGGUAAUACGAGGGGGGCGAGCGUUGUUCGGAAUUAUUGGGCGUAAAGGGCGCGUAUGCGGUGCGGUAAGUCACCUGUGAAACCUCUGGGCUUAACUCAGAGCCUGCAGGCGAAACUGCCGUGCUGGA